GAAGGUCAUGCAGUAAGGCAGGAGCUGAUUGUACUUCUCAGGUACCUGAGACUCUGCAUGUUCUUCUCAAAGGAGCAUUAUGAAGUGUUCCUAGAGUUUGGUGGAUAUGAGCAGAAUGAUAUUCUCAUAAGGAAGUCCAAGGCAAAGCUUAUGAAGCCCGCGUUCACGGUUGUUCGUGACGAAAGUACCAGAUGCUUCCUCCUUUUUAUCCGGGGAGCUAUCAGUGUUAAGGAUCGCCUGACGGCGGCAACUGCUACAGAGGUUCCGUUUCAUCAUGCUGUGUCACAAGAAGGCCGUGGAUCCUGUAUAGUUGUUGGGCAUGCACAUUGUGGAAUGGUUGCAGCAGCUCGCUGGGUUGCGGAUCAGGCCAUUCCCUGCCUCAGCAGAGCAGUCGAGCGAUUUCCAGACUACAAAAUUAAGGUAAGUAACUAA
rnacentral:rRNA from 1 species